GACGAACGCUGGCGGCGUGCCUAAUACAUGCAAGUCGAGCGAACAGACGAGGGGUUUGGUCCUCUGACGUUAGCGGCGGUCGGGUGAGGAACACGUGGUUAACCUAACUCUAAGACUGGGGUAACUUCGGCAAACUGGAGCUACUACCGGAAAAUAUAUUGAAUUUAAUGGUUCAAUAGUGUAAGACGGUUUUGCUUUCACUUAUUGAUGGAUCCGCGCCGCAUUCGUUAGUUGGUAAGGUAACGGCUUACCAAGGCGUCGAUGGGUAGCCGACCUGAGAGCGAGGACCAGCACACUGGCACUGAGACACGGCCGCGACUCCGACAGGAGGCAGCGGUAGGGACUCCUCCGCGAAGGGCGAAAGCCUGACGGAGCGGCGCCGCGUGAAUGAUGAAGGUCUUCUGAUGGUAAAACGCUGUUAGUAUUGAAGUACAAAUGUGUAAGUACCUAUGCACGUCUUGACGGUACCUAGACAAGAAGCCACGGCUAACUACGUG
rnacentral:rRNA from 1 species